UGCCAGCCGCCGCGGUAAUAUGGACGGUGCAUGCGUUGUUCGGAAUUACUGGGCGUGAAGCGCGCGUAGGCGGCUUUUUAAGUCAGAUGUGAAAGUCCACGGCUCAACCGUGGAAGUGCAUUUGAAACUGGGAGGCUUGAGUAUUGGAGGGGGUGGUGGAAUUCCCGGUGUAGAGGUGAAAUUCGUAGAUAUCGGGAGGAAUACCGGUGGCGAAGGCAACUUAUCUGGUUUAUAACUGACGCUGAGGCACAAAGGUACAGCCAGCAAACAGGGUUAGAUA
rnacentral:rRNA from 1 species